rnacentral:rRNA from 1 species
UGGGGAAUAUUGCACAAUGGGCGCAACCCUGAUGCAGCAACGCCGCGUGAACGAUGAAGGUCUUCGGAUCGUAAAGUCCUGUGGCGGGGGAAGAUAAUGACGGUACCCUGUGAGGAACCCCCGGCAAACUACGUGCCAGCAGCCGCGGUAAUACGUAGGGGGCUAGCGUUAUCCGGAUUUACUGGGCGUAAAGGGUGCGUAGGUGGUCCUUCAAGUCGGUGGUUAAAGGCUACGGCUCAACCGUAGUAAGCCGCCGAAACUGGAGGACUUGAGUGCAGGAGAGGAAAGUGGAAUUCCCAGUGUAGCGGUGAAAUGCGUAGAUAUUGGGAGGAACACCAGUAGCGAAGGCGGCUUUCUGGACUGCAACUGACACUGAGGCACGAAAGCGUGGGUAGCAAACAGG